GAUGAACGCUGGCGGUAUGCUUAACACAUGCAAGUCGAACGGAACCUUCGGGUUUAGUGGCGGACGGGUGAGUAACGCGUGAGAAUCUGCCUCUAGGUCGGGGACAACAAUUGGAAACGAUUGCUAAUACCCGAUGUGCAGCAAUGUGAAAGAUUUAUUGCCUAGAGAUGAGCUCGCGUCUGAUUAGCUAGUAGGUGUGGUAAUGGCGCACCUAGGCGACGAUCAGUAACUGGUCUGAGAGGAUGACCAGUCACACUGGGACUGAGACACGGCCCAGACUCCUACGGGAGGCAGCAGUGGGGAAUUUUCCGCAAUGGGCGAAAGCCUGACGGAGCAAUACCGCGUGAGGGACGAAGGCUUUUGGGUCGUAAACCUCUUUUCCCUGAGAAGAAGAUCUGACGGUAUCAGGGGAAUAAGCAUCGGCUAACUUCGUGCCAGCAGCCGCGGUAAUACGAGGGAUGCAAGCGUUAUCCGGAAUUAUUGGGCGUAAAGCGUCCGCAGGUGGCUCUGUAAGUCUGUCGUUAAAGAAUGGGGCUCAACCCCAUACAGGCGAUGGAAACUACAAGGCUAGAGUUUGGUAGGGGUCACGGGAAUUCCUAGUGUAGCGGUGAAAUGCGUAGAUAUUAGGAAGAACACCAGCGGCGAAAGCGCGUGACUGGGCCAGUACUGACACUCAUGGACGAAAGCUAGGGGAGCGAAAGGGAUUAGAUACCCCUGUAGUCCUAGCCGUAAACGAUGAUAACUAGGUGUUGCCCG
rnacentral:rRNA from 1 species